rnacentral:rRNA from 1 species
GAUGAACGCUGGCGGCGUGCCUAAUACAUGCAAGUCGAGCGAACAGACGAGGAGCUUGCUCCUCUGACGUUAGCGGCGGACGGGUGAGUAACACGUGGAUAACCUACCUAUAAGACUGGGAUAACUUCGGGAAACCGGAGCUAAUACCGGAUAAUAUAUUGAACCGCAUGGUUCAAUAGUGAAAGACGGUUUUGCUGUCACUUAUAGAUGGAUCCGCGCCGCAUUAGCUAGUUGGUAAGGUAACGGUUUACCAAGGCAACGAUGCGUAGCCGACCUGAGAGGGUGAUCGGCCACACUGGAACUGAGACACGGUCCAGGCUCCUACGGGACGCAGCAGUAGGGAAUCUUCCGCAAUGGGCGAAAGCUUGACGGAGCAACGCCGCGUGAGUGAUGAAGGUCUUCGGAUCGUAAAACUCUGUUAUUAGGGAAGAACAAAUGUGUAAGUAACUAUGCACGUCUUGACGGUACCUAAUCAGAAAGCCACGGCUAACUACGUG